GUACAUCACGUACAUCCGGCUACUGUCCUCGUCAAACUCCCACUUCAACUGGUUGUCCUCGUAAGCAUCUGCUUCUGCGUUACCUGUACCUGUGGGGUGGUUGUAGUAAUCCGUGAGCCACAAGGAAUAGCAAUCUCAUGACCAUGUCAUCGAAUCUAACUAACUUGUUGGGUAAGGAUGGGGUAUGUGUUUGAGUUUGCAGCAACACUAAGCAUUUAUGGUGGCUAACUUAUGUUGAACAUGAAUUAAAGGUAUAGUGGUCUACGCAUGACGUUCGUUAACUAAGAAUAAUCACUAAGUGAUCCUGAACACCUACUUACGUCAGUCAUAACCCCACCGUGUUCUCGAUCAGAGAAGGAACUCUGAAGGAAACAGUCACGGUUACGCACACAGUUGGCAGGUUUUAAUCAAAUUAGUUUAAGUUGUCCAGAACCGUAUGUUAACAAAGUUUCCAUGUUUGCCACAUAACCGCGGGCACGACUUUCAAAAAAGAAUUUACCCUGCAGGGGUGCUCCAACUAAUCCAUCACAAAUUAUCACAGGCCACAUAGAAAUCCUCGAUCACGAAACUCGCGAUCUCGUCGGAUUCCUUAAUAGGAAAACCUCAACUCUGAGGAAAAACCCAAAGUCUCACCGGAAUCCCAAUGCACAAGAUACAUCGUUAAGGUAAGACAAGUCCAGCAAGACCACCCGACAUGGGGACGACCCCGAUAAGAGCCGCGUAUCUCAAUCUCAGGACACGUCGGAUAAGCACAACGUACGAUGGCCUGAUAGACAUCUCCCGGGUUGCCCUGGGUUUGCCCCGCAAACGGCUCGAGGUUGGACCAACACUCAUGAGGAGCACUGGCCCGGGGGUUGGUUAAGUUUCCUCGGGGUAGCUAUUCCCUAUGCUUUAAUUAUUAAGUUGUUUGCAAAUUAACACCAAAGUUGGGUCUUGCCAGACAAGCCUUAGACUAAACAAUUUACCAAGGGGGUCCCCAUAACAACCCCGAACGUUUUAGGAGCGCUCACUUAUGGAAUAAAAGAACUGUUAGUCGAAACUAAGGCGACAAAAGUGAAACAAAUCACCUAGCAAAAGGCCAGAUCUUCCGCCUUUUACCAAGUAUAUAGNNNCAUUAAUUAAAUAGCAUUUAAUAUAAGAUGAUAAUAAAAUUCCCAUGUUAUCACAUGGACCAGCUUGCACCUGCAACUACCAAUUCUAUCAAGUGGUUGUGUGUAACGACUAAGAUGCGGCCCUUUCCUAUUUUGGGGGCGAGACUUCAAAAGGGAAAGGGGCGCAUCUAAACGUUUCGCAAGCGUGAUAAUCAUAACAUUACAUAACUGAAAGAGUGGCAAGUAGGGCAUACACUUGCCAUCUGAUAAGAGUAUAGCAUUAAGCUUACAACCACACAUUAUUCAGAGCAUAGUUUAGUCCCUCUACGGAGAACAUGAAACAAGUAAAACUAUGACAUCCCGCAUGCUAGCCCCACGAUCACGACCACGGCCUCAGUCCUCUGGAUAGUUCAUGUACAGUAGACCGGAAUCCUCAUCGAACUCCCACGUCAGCUGACUGUCAUCAGGAUCUCCUGCGCCGGGCAUACCUGUACCUGUUGGUGUUUGUAGUAAUCUGUGAGCCACGGGGACUCAUCAAUCGAAUGAUCUUGGUAUCGAAUCUAGCCAAGUUAUUGGGUGAGGAAGGAUAGUGAAUGGGUUUGCAGCAACCUAAGCAUAUAUGGUGGCUACCUUACGAUGAUCAGAGUAAUCAUAUGGUGGUCUACGCGAGCGAUCGAAGACUAGGUUGAUCACUAAGUGAUCCUAAACACCUACUUACGUCAGACAUAACCCCACUACGUUCUCGAUCAGAGAACGAUCUCUGAAAGAGACAGUCACGGUUACGCACACAGUUGGCAGUUUUAUCAGAGUUACUUCAGGUUGUCUAGAACCGGAUGUUAACAAAAUAUCCAUAUUUGCCACAUAACCGCGGGCACGACUUCCCGAAAGAUUUAACCCUGCAGGGGUGCUUCAACUAGUCCAUCACAAACUGCCACAGGCCCCAAAGUAAUCCUCGAUCACGAAACUUGUGAUAUCGUUGAAUUCCUUAGAGGAAAACAUCAACUUUGAGGAGACCCAAAGUUUCACCGGAAUCCCAAUGCGCAAGAUAUAUCGCUAAGAUAAGACAGAUCUGGCAAGAUCUCCCGACGUGUUGACGAACCCGAUAGGAGCCGCGUAUCUCGUUCUCAGGACACGGCGGAUUGUCCAAACUUCCGGUAGGCCAGUCACAGAGUUGCCCCUGGUAGCCACCGGCGGUUGACAGGUUGGACCAACACUCGUGAGGAGCACUGGCCCAGGUUGUUGAUUAAUUCCUUAGGGUAGCUAUUCCCUAUGAAAAUAAUUAUUAGGUUAUUAGCAAAUUGAAAUCAAUGUUGGGUCCUGACAGACAAGCCUUAACACUACACAAUUUAUCAAGGGGGUCCCCAUAACAACCCCGAACGUGGUAGGAGCACUCAGUUAUGGAAUCAAACAUCAGUAACCGAAACUAAGGCGGCAACAACAGAACAAAUCACCCGACAAAUGGCUAGGCCUUCCGUUAUUUACCAAGUAUAUAGGUGCAUUAAUUAAAUAACAGUUUAAACAUAAUGAUAUCAAAAUACCCAUGUUGUCACAUGGGACAGCUGGCACCUGCAACUAGCAAAGCUAUCCGUUAGGGGUUGAGCAAGCCUACUUAGCCAGACAAUAUUUGCUAGGACAGGGAAGUGUUUGGGGUUCAUGGCAAAGACAUGUAGCAUCUAUAUCAAGUGGUAGGCAGCGAGCAUGUAACGAAGGAAACGUGAUUCUAAGCAUAACAAAGCUAGAAACGGUGUCAAGGACACGGUCAUCUUGCAUGUGGUUUCUUCGGUCUGGAACUGCUUUUGUUCUUCCUGGACGAACUCUCCGGACUCCUCGUACUCGUUUCCGGCCCCGGUAACUACCCAAAAGAAACAACAUCUAAUAAACACCAGCAAAAAAUGAUGCAAUAGACAACAAUAUGCAUGAAUGUACUCCGCCAAACAAGUACAUGAAAACAGCCCUACAUCGAUAAAUCUAUUGCCACCUCAUCACAAGGGGAUUUUUACUGAGAUGCCCAAAACCAGAAAUUAACAACACCAUUGGAUUCACUGGGAUUUUCUACCCCAAAUCCAUAUAUCACACUACCACUUUUGCAUCUAGAAAAACAUCACAAGCAGGAAAAGGAAUCUGACAUAGAAUCAACUACAACAUUAAUUCAAGAACAUGGACUGUUCUUGGGCCAGCCCAAAUUGGCAUAUGCCAGAAUAGGCAAAUUCCUUAUUAGGAAUUAUCCCAAAGAUGGAAUCUAUCACCUCAACAGAAAUAAUAAAGGGGAAAAAUAAAAAUAAAAACACUAAAUCUAACAGCCAUGGCCCACUGGUCAGUGACACAAAACAACAUAUUAACAUUGAAAAACUAAAAGGGAGUGGUGGAGUUAGAACCCACCACCUCUCUAUGCAUCACAGAGGCAAGCACCACUUUGCUAUGCAAAGCUAGUUACUCUAAGAGGGGAGAGAAAAAAAAAACAAAACUUUAAAAGGGCUAGAACCCUGGACCUCUUGCAUUGUGUGCGACUCGGUUGCCACUAGGUUAUACUACGACUACUGACCCAACAGAGCUAACACUUGAGGUAACCUAUAAAUGCAACUACUACAAGAAGGGAAAAACCUCAGGUAAAUAAAAAGGUGGGGGUCUGGGAAUUUAACCCCCGACCUCGUGGUUGUGCACAAGCUAGCAACCAUUACUUAGAGGUUUCCAUUCUCGGGGGAAGCUAGCUUCUACAGCGUAGAGGGACGAUGAUGCUCAAUCCGAACCAAGCUUUGCCUUGGACAUGGCGGUCACGAGAACGAAGCAGGGGCACUGUGGCAGGCGAGGCACGAUAGGGCGGCGAUGCAGCAGUGGAGAGCAGGCUGGCUAACGCGUGCGGGUUGCGGGCGUGCGCUGGAACGGGAGCUCCGUGGGUUCACAGCAAAACAACCGCCGCUUCCUUUACAGAAGAUCUUCUUCAGAGAAGAGAACGGGAGCGCGGCGAGCACAACGAUGUCACGGCUUACAGAAGAUCUACGCUUACGGAUGGCUAGCGACGCGACGGAGAGGGGGAAGGAAGAGGGGGGUCAUACCACCUCACCUAGGGCAUGAAAACGAUGUGGAACGAGGCUUCAGAAGGCGACGGCGAGCUGCUGAAGUCUGGCGCGCAUCCGAACCGGUUCUGCCUGAAGAAGAAGAGGAAGCAGACGACGUCGAGGCGACUCCUUGGGACCCCGCGAGCCGUCGAAGACGGAGAGGAGCACGGGGAGGAUCCCUUCCCGUGCACCAGAGGGCGAGGGAGCGACGGAGAUCAACUCCGGGCCCGAGCUGCUGCUCGGCUGGAGCACGGCGGACGCGGCGACGGCAUGGCGCGAAGCUAUCUUACCUAGCGGCGGCGAGGCGAGGUGGAGGGAGAAAUGGGUCUAGGGAAACUAGGGCAACGUGGGGGACACAACUUAUAGGUGGCUCGGGCUCUCUCCGACCGUCAAAUCGACCGGACGGCUACGUGGCUCCCCUGGAUGGCUGCCGUAUAGAGGAGCACGAAGACUCCACUCAGGGGCUGGCUGGGCUGCGCUGCUAGCUGGGCCUGGGGGAAGAGGGAGCCCAACACACCUCUCUCUCUGGAAAACAGCAAAGGGGGUUCAUGUUUUAAACAAAUGCACAACAAAUAGCUCACAAAGGAAAACAAGAAAUGGUCCUUAGUAAGAAGAAAAUAUCUUUGGUGUACUAAAACCAUGCCACUAAUUAUAAAAAUAAGUAGGCAUUUUUGGGAGAGCAAAUAAUUUCCUUUUCUUUAACAUGGGGCUUUGUUUUUUAAUUAAAACCAAAAUGAAAAGGACCUCAAAUAGAAGAGUGUUGCCGCCUACAAUUAUUUAAAUAGUUUUUCAAAGAUGUUGGACAUUUUUAAUGGCUAAAACAGAAACUUAAAUUCUGCCUCAAGUUAGAAAGGAGAGGGGGGGUUUAUUUGGACCUUGGUGCAACUAUGAUUUUGAAGGUUCCUUGUUGCACCCACACCACACUCCAUAAUAACAUCCAAGACACAUAAAACCACAUCACCAAGCUGGCACAACACCCAGAACAAGACUAAGCAAAAAGGAAGAUGCAAGAUAUGCAUGAGAAGCACAUGAAAUGAUAACCCCAACACCACCUCCAUAGCCCCAAAUGGAAAAGCUUACAAAAGGGGAAAGAAAGCACUUGGGCCGUCACAACUCUCCCACACUAUAAGAGGAUCUCGAUCCGAGAUCUAGGACUGGAAGAACUCUGGAAAUUCGGAACGAAGGUGAUCCUCACGCUCCCAAGUGGCCUCUUUGUCGGAAUGAUGUGACCAUUGCACCUUGAGAAACUUGAAUGACUUAUUGCAGGUCUUGAGCUCAGUCGCCUCAAGAACUGCAACUGGAUGCUCACGGUAGGAUAGGUUGGGUUGAAGGUCGAUAUCCUAAAGAUCAACUGUGCGCUCGGGAGUCUUGAAGCAUCUUCGGAGCUGAGAGACACGAAACACGUCAUGCACAUUUGAGAAGUUUGAAGGGAGCUCUAAUUGAUAAGCGAGGUCGCCUCUCUUGCCAAUAAUUCUGAAAGGCCCAACAAAACAAGGAGCAAGCUCUCCUUUGAUGCCGAAACAUUGCGUGCCCUUCAUGGGAGACACUUUAAGAUAGAGAAAAUCGCCGAGUUGAUAAGCCAUGUCAUGAUGCUUGCUAUCGUAGUAGCUCUUCUGAUGGGACUACGCUGCUUUGAGAUUAUCCCGAAUGACAUGACACAUUUCUUCUGCUUCAGCAAUCAUGUCAUUCCCAAGAAUCUGACGCUCACCAGUCUCUGACCAAUUGAGCGGGGUACGACACUUCCUGCCAUAAAGAAUCUCGAACGGAGCUUUGCCUGAACUCGCCUGAUAGCUGUUGUUAUAUGAAAACUCAGCAAAAGGUAGAUAGUAUUCCCACUUCAUGCCAAAGGAAAUGACACAGGCUCUUAGCAUAUCCUCGAGGACCUGAUUGACUCUCUCAACUUGCCCACUAGUCUGAGGACGGAAGGUUGUACUGAAUCAAAUCUUAGUACCCAUCGCAGACUAAAAUGAAUCCCAAAACUUGGAAGUAAAGAUGCUUCCUCGAUCCUAAGAAAUUAGCAUUGGAACACCAUGCAAUGAGACUACCCUUGACGUAUACAGCUCCGCAGGCUGAGCUGCCAAGAUAGACCCCUUGACCGGAAGGAAAUGAGCGACUUUGCUCAACUUGUCGAUGACGACAAAGAUGGCAUCGUUACCUUUCUUGGACUUCGGAAACCCGGUGACGAAAUCCAUCUCAACAUGGUCGAAUUUCCACUCGGGAAUGGGCAAGGGAUGCAAAAGACCUGAUGGACGUUGAUGCUCUGCUUUCACUCUUCGACAUACAUAACAUUCAUUUACGAACUGAGGAAUCUCACGCUUCAUGCGAGUCCACCAGAAGGUCUGUUUCAGAUCCUGAUACAUCUUGGAACUUCCUGUAUGUAUCGAGAGAAGAGAGUUAUGAGCUUCUUCCAUGAUAACCUUUCUGAGAUCCCCUUUCGGAACGACAAGGCGAUCCUUAAAGAACAAUGUAUCUCUGGCAUCCACACCGAAGCACUUAUAUUUGGGAACUCCCUUUGCCAAGCCAAUCUUAACUUUCUUCACCAUAGCAUCAAGAAGUUGAGCUUGUCGGACUUGGUCUUCCAAGGUCGGAGAAAUCUGAAGAUUAGCAAGAAAUCCCUGAGGUACUAACUGAAGGUUGAGCUUUCUAAAAGAAUCACAAAGAUCAGGGUGGAGAGGCUUCAGAAUAAGACUGUUGUAGUAAGCCUUUCUGCUCAAAGCAUCUGCAACGACAUUAGCUUUGCCUGGAGUGUACUCAAGGCUCGGAUUAAAAUCUUGGAGCAUUUCCACCCAACGAGUUUGCCGAAGAUUAAGGUUAGGCUGGGUGAAGAUGUAUUUAAGACUCUUGUGAUCGGUGAACACUUCAACCUUUCUUUCCAACAAGAGGUGUCUCCAAGUCAUCAGAGCAUGUACCACUGCCGCCAACUCAAGAUCAUGAGUGGGGUAAUUCUUCUCUCUUGGCUUCAACUGUCUCGAGGUAUAAGCUACCACUUUCUUUUCUUGCAUCUGAACUGCACCAAGACCUUGAAGAGAGGCAUCGCAGAACACUUGUUAAGGUUUGGAAUCAUGAGGAGGAACCAAGACUGGAGUAGAAGUGAGCUUCUCUUUGAGUGUGUUGAAAGCCAACUGACACUCUGGAGACCAGACAUACUUCACACCCUUCUGAAGAAGACUUGAGAGAGGCUUAGCAAUCUUGGAGAAAUUCUCAACGAAUCUUCUGCAAUAGCUUGCAAGCCUGAGAAAGCUUCGAAGUUGCUUCACAUUCUGCGGAGGUUCCCACUCAACAAUGGCCUGCACCUUCAAUGGAUCAACUUUGAUGCCCUCGGCAGAGAUGAUGUUCCGAAGGUACACAACUUCCUUCAACCAGAACUCACAUUUGGAAAACUUAGCAUAAAACUUAUGCUCUCUUAGCUUAUCAAGCACAAGCCUGAGAUGUUCCUCAUGCUCUUCCUCAGUUUUCGAAAAGACCAUAAUAUCAUCAAGGUACAACAAGACGAAUUCAUUCUUGAAUGGGAAGAAGAUAUAAUUCAUCAUGCGAUAGAAGGUCGGUGGAGCAUUGGCCAGACCGAAAGACAUCACCGUGUACUCAUACGAGCCAAAGCUUGUUCUGAAAGUAGUCAUCGAAAUGUCCUCUUCGCGAAUGCGAAUCUGAUGAUAACCCAUCCUGAGAUCAAGCUUCGAGAAGAUCUUAGCCCCUUUCAAUUGGUCAAACAGCUCAUUGAUGUCGGGAAGUGGAUACUUGUUUUUUGAUCAUCUUCUUAUUCAAUGGAUGGUAAUCGACACAGAGUCGUUCCGUGCCAUCCUUCUUCUUGACGAAAAGCACUGCACAACCCCAAGGGGAUGAGCUUGGUCUGAUCAGACCCAGCCGCUAUUGCUCAUCAAGUUGUUUCUUCAGCUGCUUCAGCUCUUCUGGACCUAGUUUGUACGGCCGCUUACACACAGGCUCAGUACCAGGUUCAAGUUCAGUUACGAACUCCACUGCUCGGUGCGGAGGCAUUCCUGGCAGUUCUUCUGGAAAAACAUCUUCAUACUCUCAGACCACCGGGACUUUAGAAAUUGGAGAGAUCUCACUCUUCUCAUUCAAGGAAAACAGACGGACCGUGUCAUCACGCUCUGCGAAGAUAAUCACGUCCUCUAGAGAAUGAGUUAGCUUCACUUCUUUAGCUUCACAAUCAAUAGACGCCUUGUUCAUAGCCAACCAAUCCAUACCCAGGAUCAAAUCAAUAUCAGAGUUGCCAAGGACAAUAGGAGAAGCCAGAAUGGCAUAAUUACCCAUCUUGACAACGACAUCAGGACCUAUGAAGCGAGAAUUCAUUUGCAACCCCGGUGAAACCACAGUUAAGGAUCUAGGAAACUCUUCACAACACAGCUCAUGCUUUGCAACAAAAGGCCUUGAAAUGAAUGAAUGCGAUGCACCAGAAUCAAAUAAAACCUUUGCAGGAAAAUCAUUAACUAGGAGAUUACCCAUAAUCACGUUUGUGGAGUUCUCCGCUUCAGCUGCAUUCACCAUAUUCACUCUUGCAUACUUGGGAUUGAACUUCACCAUAGCAUUGCUUGGAGGCUUCCCUAGAGGAGGGGGUGGAAGACGCACCUGAGAGGUACACUUGUUGGAGUAGUGACCCUUCUGCCCACACUUGUGAAAAGUAACAUCUGACAGCGGACGGAACUGCACCUCAGGAUUCCCUUGCUUCUGCUGCUGAAACCUCUCCUGGAAAGGUGGGAUGAGUGGGUGGGAAGAACCACGACCACCUAACUGCUUGAACUGCUGAGUCUGCCGAGGAGGAGGAGACAUCCAAUAUUUCUGUUGCUUCUGGACCACCUGAGUUGAGGGCGAUGAGCUGGAAUCUCUGAAAUGCUUCCUCGAAUUCUCCACUCUGAGCAAAGCUGCCUCAGCCCUGAGAGCCAAGUUAUAGAACUUAUCAAACUCAUCGGGAUCGUGCAAGGCAAGGGCCAGCUGCAAGUCCUCUCCCAGACCACCUCUGAACUGAUAGAUCUUGCUCUUCUGAUCUGGAACUUCUCACACAUCUCUUCCACAAAGUUAGUUGGAAUAUAGUGAGACCUGAAAUCUCUGUAGAAAUCGUCCCAACUGAUCAUUCUACCUCCCGUGGAGUCCUUCAACUGCUGCCACCAAACUACUGCCUGCCCCUUGAGAUGAAAUGUUGCAAACUUGACGAAGUCCCCUGAAUGGACAUUGCUGCACUCAAAGUGUUUGACCAUGUCCCGAAUCUAGUCCUCAGUGUCGAACGGCUGGUCACAAGACGUGAAGGACCUCGGCUAGUUCACCAGGAAUUGAUUCAGAGAUGCAAACUGAUGAGCACCAGGGUUGAAAUUGCCCUGCUGCUGAUUGCUCCUCUCUUCCAACAGCUGAAUUAACAUCUGGGUGUUAGAAUUUGUUGCAGCCAUCACCGCUUGCCAAGCCUCUGCAGGAGGUGGUGGCGGAGCAUCAUCAUCAUCGCGACCCGGAUUCUGGCGAGUUGGUGGAGACAUCCUGAAGACGGACAACGCAUUAGGCCGGAGAUUAACAUUCAAGGUAAAGCUGAAUCAAUAGACAUAAAUAUCCGAACAAGAAUACUUAGCAAUUGCAUUCGAACAAUAAUUAGUAAGAAUGCUUCCUCAAAGUGACUACCGACAACAUCUGAUUAAAGGCCACUCGAAAACCAAGUAUGAGCUAGGAUUGCUCGGAACAAACGUAUGACAGAGAUUCCAUUCGAUAUCUUCGUGGAUAUGAUCGCACGGGCUCGAAUUUACUGUAGCCAUCCUGUGCAAGGCAGUGCACACGACUUACGAAGCGUCCCCGAGUUGUAGCAAGCUACAAGGACUCUUUAAGACACAACGAGAACCGCUGUAAGACGACCUGAACAAGCGUACCCACUGAAUGUCGAAUCCCAUCCUCACAUCAUGCAUCUGUAGGAAGAUUGCCCUAUAAGUCACUACUUGAUAUCCCACCUAUGAAUUCCCAAAAUAUCUGUCAUGCAAUCUGGUCCACGGAUACAAGGAGUAAUAUGUCACACAACUCCUAUAUUAACCCGUCCAGUGUAUCACAUCCAUCAACACAUAACCAGAAUCUCGAACUUCAUCUAACACAGACCCUCGUAAUCACAACGAUACAAAGUGUGGCGUUACAUCCGGAACUCUCUGCGCCAGUACUGGGGAAGCCGGACUCCUCUCGUCACUACUAGUAUUGAAGCAAUUACGAACAUCCUCCGUCCUGAGAUACCAAGAAGUCUGAAUGAUGGCGAUGUGCACAAGAAUCCCCUGGAGCUCAACUCCCCGGCAGAAAUCAAGUCAGACAGGAGGCACCAAGACAGGACUCCGUCACAUCGAUAUCAUAUAGAUUUCAAAAUAUCCGUGUGAUCCUAAAUUUUUUUUGAGCGAGAAGAAGAGUAGAAUUAAGAUUUCCUAAGUUGAUAACCUUACCAGAGAAAAGAAGAGGAGAAAAAAGAAACCUACUCUCCAAUAUAACUAAGACUCAAAUAGUUUUUACUAGACUCGACUCGGCCAAGUUCGAUCACACAAAGGCUCUUAUGGUCGCAAGGCUCUGAUUACCAACUUGUAACGACUAAGAUGCGACCCUUUCCUAUUUUGGGGGCGAGGCCUCAAAAGGGAAAGGGGCGCAUCUAAACGUUUUGCAAGCGAGAUAAUCAUAACAUUACAUAACUGAAAGAGUGACAAGUAGGGCAUACACUUGCCAUCUGAUAAGAGUAUAUCAUUAAGCUUACAAACACACAUUAUUCAGAGCAUAGUUUAGUACCGCUACGGACAACAUGAAACAAGUAAAACUAUGACAUCCCGCAUGCUAGCCCCACGAUCACGACCACGGCCUCAGUCCUCCGGAUAGUUCACGUACAGUCGACCAGAGUCCUCACCGAACUACCACUUCAGCUGGCAGUCAUCAGGAUCUCCUGCGUCGGGCGUACCUGUACCUGUUGGUGUUUGUAGUAAUCUGUGAGCCACAGGGACUCAUCAAUCGAAUGACCUUGGUAUCGAAUCUAGCCAAGUUAUUGGGUGAGGAAGGAUAGUGAAUGGGUUUGCAGCAACCUAAGCAUAUAUGGUGGCUACCUUACGAUGAUCAGAGUAAUCAUAUGCUGGUCUACGCGAGCGAUCGAAGACUAGGUUGAUCACUAAGUGAUCCUGAACACCUACUUACGUCAGGCAUAACCCCAGCGUGUUCUCGAUGAGAGAACGAUCUCUGAAAGAGACAAUCACGGUUACGCACAUAGUUGGCAGUUUUAUUAGAGUUACUUCAAGUUGUCUAGAACCGGAUGUUAACAAAAUAUCCAUAUUUGCCAAAAGAUUUAACCCUGUAGGGGUGCUCCAACUAGUCCAUCACAAACUGCCACAGGCCGCAAAGUAAUCCUCUAUCACGAAACUUGUGAUCUCGUCGGAUUCCUUAGAGGAAAACCUCAACUUUGAGGAGACCCAAAGUUUCACCGGAAUCCCAUUGCGCAAGAUAUAUCGCUAAGGUAAGACAGAUCUGGGAAGACCUCCCGACGUGUCGACGAACCCGAUAAGAGCCGCGUAUCUCGUUCUCAGGACACGACGGAUUGUCCAAACUUCCGGUAGGCCAGUCACAGAGUUGCCCCUGGUAGCCACCGACGGUUGAUAGGUUGGACCAACACUCAUGAGGAGCACUUGCCCGGGUUGUUGAUUAAUUCCUCGGGGUAGCUAUUCCCUAUGCAAAUUAUUAUUAGGUUAUUAGAAGAUUAAAACCAAUGUUGGGUCCUACCAGACAAGCCUUAACACUACAUGAUUUAUCAAGGGGGUCCCCAUAACAACCCCGAACAUGUUAGGAGCGCUCAGUUAUGGAAUCAAACAUCGGUAACCAAAAGUAAGGCGACAACAACGGAACAAAUCACCCGACAAAAGGCUAGGACUUUUGUUAUUUACCAAGUAUAUAUGUGCAUUAAUUAAAUAGCAGUUUAAAUAUAAUGAUAUCAAAAUACCCAUGUUGUCACAUGGGAUAGCUGGCACCUGCAACUAGCAAAGCUAUCGGUUAGGGGUUGAGCAAGCCUACUUAGCCAGACAAUAUUUGCUAGGACAGGGAAGUGUUUGGGGUUCAUGGCAAAGAGAGGUAGCAUUUAUAUCAAGUGGUAGGCAGUGAGCAUGUAACAAAGGAAACGUGAUUCUAAGAAUGACAAAGCUACAAACGGUAUCAAGGUCACGGUCAUCUUGCCUGUGGUUUCUUCAGACUGGAACUGCUCUUGUUCUUCCUGCACGAACUCUCCGGACUCCUCGUACUCGUUUCCGGCCCCGGUAACUACCCAAAAGAAACAACAUCUAAUAAACACCAGCAACAAAUGAUGCAACAGACAACAAUAUGCAUGAAUGCACUCCGCCAAACAAGUACAUGAAAAUAGCCCUACAUCAUAAAUCUAUUGCCACCUCACCACAAGGGGAUUUUUACUGAGAUGCCCAAAACCAGAAAUGAACAACACCAUUGGAUUCACUGGUAUUUUCUAUCCCAAAUCCAUAUAUCACACUGCCACUUUUGCAUCUAGAAAAACAUCACAAACAGGGAAAGGAAUCUGACAUAGAAUCAACUACAACAUUAAUUCAAGAAGAGGGACUGUUCUUGGGCCAACCCAAAUUGGCAUAUGCCAGAAUAGGCAAAUUCCUUAUUAAGAAUUAUUCCAAAGAUGAAAUCUAUCACCUCAACAGAAGUAAUAAAGGGAAAAAAUUAAAAAUAAAAACACUAAAUCUAAGAGCCAGGGCCCACUAGUGAGUGACACAAAACAACAUAUUAACAGAGAAAAACUAAAAGGAAGUGGAGGAGUUCGUACCCACCACCUCUGUGUGCAUCACAGAGGCAAGCACCACUUUGCUAUGCANNNNNNNNNNNNNNNNNNNNNNNNNNNNNNNNNNNNNNNNNNNNNNNNNNNNNNNNNNNNNNNNNNNNNNNNNNNNNNNNNNNNNNNNNNNNNNNNNNNNNNNNNNNNNNNNNNNNNNNNNNNNNNNNNNNNNNNNNNNNNNNNNNNNNNNNNNNNNNNNNNNNNNNNNNNNNNNNNNNNNNNNNNNNNNNNNNNNNNNNNNNNNNNNNNNNNNNNNNNNNNNNNNNNNNNNNNNNNNNNNNNNNNNNNNNNNNNNNNNNNNNNNNNNNNNNNNNNNNNNNNNNNNNNNNNNNNNNNNNNNNNNCUCUACAGAGAGAGAAAAAACCCAAACUUCAAAAGGGCUCGAACCGUGGACCUCUUACACUGUGCGCGACUUGGUUGCCACUAGGCUAUGCUGCGACUACUGACCCAACACAGCUAACAACACAGGUAACCUACAACUGCAACUACUACAACAAGGAGAAAAAAUCAGGUAAAUAAAAGGUGCGGCGCUGGGAUUUGAUCCCCCGACCUCGUGGUUGUGCAGAAGCGGCGUGGUUCUUCUACCUCCAUCCACCGGAGGAGAUGUUGUCGCCGGCGAGCGGAAUGGCGAUGACGGCGGCCAAGAUUGCCGGCGGGGGUACGGAUUCCUUAGAGGUUUCCAUUCCCGGGGGAAGCUAGCUUCUACGACGCAGAGGGGCGACGAUGCUCAAGCUGAACCAAGCUUUGCCUUGGACAUGGCGGUCACGAGAAGGAAACAGGGGCGCAACGGUAGGCGAGGCACGACGGGGCGGCGAUGCAGCAGCGGCGAGCAAGCUGGCUAACGCGUGCGGGUUGCGGGCGUGCGCUGGAACGGGAGCUCCGCGGGUUCACAGCAAAACAACCGCAACUUUCUUUACAGAAGAUCUUCUUCAGAGAAGAUAAUGGGAGCACGGCGAGCACGAUGAUGUCACGGCCGGAUCUACAAUUACGAAUGGCUAGCGACGCGACGGAGAGGGUGAAGGAAGAGGGGGAUCAUACCACGUCACCUAGGGCAACACGGGGGACACAACUUAUAGGUGGCUCGGGCUCUCUCCGGCUGUCAAAUCGACCGGAGGGCUACGUGGCUCCCGUGGAUGGCUGCCGUACAGAGGAGCACGAAGACUCCACUCAGGGGUUGGCUGGGUUGCGCUGCUAGCUGGGCCUGGGGGAAGAGGGAGCCCAGCACACCUCUCUCUCUGGAAAACAACAAAGGGGGUUCAUGUU
rnacentral:lncRNA from 1 species